UACGAAGGGGCUAGCGUUGCUCGGAAUCACUGGGCGUAAAGGGUGCGUAGGCGGGUCUUUAAGUCAGGGGUGAAUCCUGGAGCUCAACUCCAGAACUGCCUUUGAUACUGAGGUCUUGAGUCCGGGAGAGGUGAGUGGAACUGCGAGUGUAGAGGUGAAAUUCGUAGAUAUUCGCAAGAACACCAGUGGCGAAGGCGGCUCACUGGCCCGGUACUGACGCUGAGGCACGAAAGCGUGGGAGCAA
rnacentral:rRNA from 1 species